rnacentral:rRNA from 1 species
GACGAACGCUGGCGGCGUGCUUAACACAUGCAAGUCGAACGGAAAGGCCCUGCUUUUGUGGGGUGCUCGAGUGGCGAACGGGUGAGUAACACGUGAGUAACCUGCCCUUUACUUUGGGAUAACUUCAGGAAACUGUGGCUAAUACCGGAUAGGAGCUCCUGCUGCAUGGUGGGUGUUUGAAAGUUUCGGCGGUUGGGGAUGGACGUGCGGCUUAUCAGCUUGUUGGUGGGGUAGUGGAUUACCAAGGCUUUGACGGGUAGCCGGCCUGAGAGGGUGACCGGCCACAUUGGGACUGAGAUACGGCCAAGACGCCUACGGGAGGAAGCAGUGGGGAAUAUUGCACAAAGGGCGGAAGCAUGAAGGAGCGACGCCGCGUGGUAGAUGACGGCCUUAGGGUUGUAAACCGCUUGCGACUGGGAAGAAGAGUGUGUGACGGUAAUGGGUAAAGAAGCACCGGCUAACUACAUG